rnacentral:lncRNA from 1 species
CUUUCCCCUUCUCCUUACCAAAUACGGCCCUCACCAUGAGCCACCCUAUCAUCCAAUUUUUCAUCAAUUCUUCAUGGAAAUCAUGUUGUAAAUAGUUCAAGUGUAUUCUUUAGAGUGGAAUAAGCAAGAAAUAAGCUUCAAAAUUCAUCCUCCCUCCUUAAUUCCUCAUGACCACCCCUCUCUUUCAACUUUCCAAUUCUUCAUUUUUCUUUCAAAUUCCAUGGAAAGCAACUUAUAAGCAUGUUUUUGGAGCAACCAAGAGUGGAAUAACACUAGGAAUGUAAUUUAUGUUGUGGUGAUUAUGAUAGUGACUUGGCUGAUACAUACGGAGCUAGGGAAUUACAUUCAAGGUUAAUUACGGAUGCCCUCAUGGUUGAGGUUUGAAAUGCAAAAUAAGUGAGACGGGUCUAUGCUAUUUUUAAAGGAUUAAAGGUGAUCGUGCUUAGUGUGCAGUUGCUUCGUGAGUUGGCCUUGCCUUCACUGU